rnacentral:rRNA from 1 species
GCUUUUGAGAGGAGGGCCACGGAGAUGGGUACUGAGACACGGACCCAGGCCCUAUGGGGCGCAGCAGGCGAGAAACCUUUGCAAUGUGCGAAAGCACGACAAGGUUAAUCCGAGUGUCUCCUGCUAAAGGAGUCUUUUGUCAGUUGUAGAAUCACUGGUGAAUAAGGGGUGGGCAAGUUCUGGUGUCAGCCGCCGCGGUAAAACCAGCACCUCGAGUGGUCAGGAGGUUUAUUGGGCCUAAAGCAUCCGUAGCCGGUUGCAUAAGUUUUCGGUUAAAUCUAUGCGCUUAACGUAUAGGCCGCCGAAAAUACUGUGCAGCUAGGGAGUGGGAGAGGUACACGGUACUCGAUAGGAAGGGGUAAAAUCCUUUGAUCUAUUGAAGACCACCUGUGGCGAAGGCGGUGUACCAGAACACGUUCGACGGUGAGGGAUGAAAGCUGGGGGAGCAAACCGGAUUAGAUACCCGGGUAGUCCCAGCUGUAAACGAUGCAGACUCGGUGAUGCAUUGGCUUGUGGCCAAUGCAGUGCCGCAGGGAAGCCGUUAAGUCUGCCGCCUGGGAAGUACGUACGCAAGUAUGAAACUUAAGGAUUGGCGGGGGAGCACCACAAGGGAUGAAGCCUGCGGUUCAUUGGAGUCACGCC